AUUGUUCUACUGUAAUGUUAUUGUCAAGUAGGCAAGUAGAUAUUUGGUAAUCAAUAGAAAUCAAACUAUUUUGAGCCGUUUCUCUCGCUGAAGACUGUAAGAAAGUAAUAGGUUGUUUUUGGGACAAAUUGGAACAUUGAAUCUGAUAAAAAGCCUCCUCCCAGAGGCCUCCAAAAUGCGGCGAUCGAGGAGGGAUGAAUCGCCAUUCAAUGCUAUCAGUCAAGCAGAAUUCAAGUCCUGCAGUUUGAUGUGGUGUUCAGGAACAAACGCUUAAGAUCCUCCAGAUCAUUCCGAGCGCCGACAAAAUUGGUGGCGUUGUCCGGCCAUAUGCGGGCAGGCUUUCCGCGGGUCAGUAUAAAUCGACUCAAGCAUUCAGAAAUGCAGAAGUGGAGAGAUCCUGAACCAGCUCAAGGUGAACAGCCUUUGUAGAAAAGCAGAUAAAGAUGCAGAUAUAGCACUUGAUGGGUGAUUUAUUCCAAACAGCAUUUUUGUAAUAAAAUGGGCCGCAAAAGUCCAGACCAGUGACCUUGAAGGAAUGUGAAGCUGUUACGUGGUCUGCAGGAAGAUUUGCUUGGCUCGAAAACAUAUGAUGCAUUUGCUAACUGCACUUUCAGUUGUCUUGCGACCGCCAAUGGAAUGAAGCAGUCAGGCCGGGGUGCCUGAUACGAUAAUGAAAUUUGAAGAUGGAUCCAAAAACAUGCUUCAAUUUUGGCCAGGAGUGGACAAAUUUACAACUGUUAACCGCCGACAAAAUUACAACUGUCGAUUUCGCCAGGGGUCUUGAGAGUGAUGAGGGCCUUCUUCCGAGCGUCUUCCGAGCGAGACAAGAUUCUAGCCAGUGCAAUUUCGGUUUUUUUUUGUUUUUGGGCACUUCCUCCAAAAGCGCGCGAAAUGAGGUGGUAAC
ensembl:ncRNA lncRNA:CR43942 long non-coding RNA:CR43942